CACCUCAGAGAACUCCAAGCUGCUGGUACCCUGUCUGUGGACCUCUCCAACUGCUUCCGUAGAUCUGGAGCCGAGGCCCCAAGGAAAACUUGAAGCUGCAUUGGAAUUGCUGCUGUUUGAGCUUGAAGCCCAGAGCUGGCCUCUGGGGCAGGGGACAGACCGGCUUUGUGCUUCCCUUCAGUAUUCUUCUUCCUUCUCUUUCCCCACAAAGUGAGAAAGACUGGAGCCCCAAAAAAGUCCAGCAUGUAACAGGCACAUGACAUCCAUUUGUCAAAGAAGUCAUGGACGAGAGUCAGGCCAGGCAGAAGAUAUCGAAUGAUGUUCUGGCCCAAAGCAGACCCUGAGACUAGUAUUUUCUUGAUUUCCACAUGCAAGGAAGGGAAUGGAAGGAGGGAGAGGAGAAGCCAAUGGUGAGUAUGUCAAUGCUGGGUACCAGUGUGGACAAUGGGGCUCCUUCACAUUGCUGGGAUCAUCCAAGGAACCAGAGUGGAUACACCAGAACAGUCCUUCUGAGGAAGGAGAGAAGGAGCGGCUGCAGUAUUUAUUGGAUCUAGAUCCUCAUCAAUGAGGUUUUCUCCAGUCUCCCUUGAAUUCUGGUCAUGUGUGGGCUCUUCUGAGUGCAGGCUGGGGUGUCUUAUGAAGCUAUGCCUGCAGUGUGGACCCGGGAGCUGAGCUCCUUUGGUGACUGUCCACCAAAGCACAGGUGAGCUCAGUGGAGAACUCAGGGCUGGGCUAUUGAUAGCUGCACCCAGGUACCUAUUGGAGAAACAGUCUUCCUAACUGAGAACCACACAUUGGGCACCCGUUGUGCUCAUAAGGGCACAUGACUUGCAUCAACUCGGCCCAGCACAGAAGCCAUUGCUAUGGAGACAGAUGCCUCUGGGACCCUGUUUAACAUGGAUGCCAGGCGUUGUAAAACUGCAGAUGCAAAACCGUGCUUAGCACACAGAAGACACUCAAUAAAGUGUGUUGAAGGAACAUUCCUGGCAGUGGAGGGGGUUGGCGAGAUGGAGGGAAAUUCAGGUGUCAGUGCUUAAAUGACUUCACAGUCUAGGGAGGUCUGACUCCGGGGGUCCCAAUCUCUCCAGAGAGUUCAAAAGCAGAUGGAGCGGGACCUCGUGGUCCAGGCUCAUUAUCCCAGCCAUGAAAGAGGUUGAGGCAGGAGAAUAGAAAGUUCAAGUUCUGUCUGGGCAACUUAGAGACUCUACCUCAAAAUGAAAACUAAAAAGAGGGCUGGGGAUAUAGCUC